GGUCCCAUAGCUCAGUUGGUUAGAGCGUCGUACUAAUAUCUUCGAUCAAUACCUUGAAAUAUUAAGUAAAUGCGAAGGCCGAGAGUUCAAGCCUCUCUGGGACCA